rnacentral:rRNA from 1 species
GACGAACGCUGGCGGCGUGCCUAAUACAUGCAAGUCGAGCGGAGUUGAUGAGGUGCUUGCACCUCUGAUGCUUAGCGGCGGACGGGUGAGUAACACGUAGGUAACCUGCCCGACAGACCGGGAUAACAGUCGGAAACGAUUGCUAAUACCGGAUACGCGAUUCUGUUGCAUGACGGAAUCGGGAAAGGCGGAGCAAUCUGCCACUGACGGAUGGACCUGCGGCGCAUUAGCUAGUUGGUGAGGUAACGGCUCACCAAGGCGACGAUGCGUAGCCGACCUGAGAGGGUGAUCGGCCACACUGGGACUGAGACACGGCCCAGACUCCUACGGGAGGCAGCAGUAGGGAAUCUUCCGCAAUGGGCGAAAGCCUGACGGAGCAACGCCGCGUGAGUGAUGAAGGUUUUCGGAUCGUAAAGCUCUGUUGCCAGGGAAGAACGGUUAGGAGAGUAACUGCUCCUGAUAUGACGGUACCUGAGAAGAAAGCCCCGGCUAACUACGUGCCAGCAGCCGCCGUAAGAC